rnacentral:rRNA from 1 species
GACGAACGCUGGCGGCGCGCCUAAUACAUGCAAGUCGAACGAACUCUGGUAUUGAUUGGUGCUUGCACCAUGAUUUACAUUUGAGUGAGUGGCGAACUGGUGAGUAACACGUGGGAAACCUGCCCAGAAGCGGGGGAUAACACCUGGAAACAGAUGCUAAUACCGCAUAACAACUUGGACCGCAUGGUCCGAGCUUGAAAGAUGGCUUCGGCUAU